rnacentral:rRNA from 1 species
UACGGAGGGAGCUAGCGUUGUUCGGAAUUACUGGGCGUAAAGCGCACGUAGGCGGCUUUGUAAGUUAGAGGUGAAAGCCCGGGGCUCAACUCCGGAACUGCCUUUAAGACUGCAUCGCUUGAAUCCAGGAGAGGUGAGUGGAAUUCCGAGUGUAGAGGUGAAAUUCGUAGAUAUUCGGAAGAACACCAGUGGCGAAGGCGGCUCACUGGACUGGU